CACGUAGGGCGCAAGCGUUGUCCGGAAUUAUUGGGCGUAAAGAGCUCGUAGGCGGUCUGUUGCGUCCGCUGUGAAAACUCGGGGCUUAACCCCGAGCCUGCAGUGGAUACGGGCAGACUAGAGGUAGGUAGGGGAGAAUGGAAUUCCCGGUGUAGCGGUGAAAUGCGCAGAUAUCGGGAGGAACACCGGUGGCGAAGGCGGGUCUCUGGCCACACCCUGACGCUGAGGCGCGAAAGCGUGGGGAGCAAACGGG
rnacentral:rRNA from 1 species